GACGAACGCUGGCGGCGUGCCUAAUACAUGCAAGUAGAACGCACAGUUUAUACCGUAGCUUGCUACACCAUAGACUGUGAGUUGCGAACGGGUGAGUAACGCGUAGGUAACCUGCCUGGUAGCGGGGGAUAACUAUUGGAAACGCUAGCUAAUACCGCAUAAUAUUAAUUAUUGCAUGAUAAUUGAUUGAAAGAUGCAACUGCAUCACUACCAGAUGGACCUGCGUUGUAUUAGCUAGUAGGUGAGGUAACGGCUCACCUAGGCGACGAUACAUAGCCGACCGGAGAGGGUGAUCGGCCACACUGGGACGGAGACACGGCCCAGACGCCUAAGGGAGGCAGCAGUAGGGAAUCUGCGGCAAUGGACGAAAGUCUGACCGAGCAACGCCGCGUGAGUGAAGAAGGUUUUCGGAGCGUAAAGCUCUGUUGUAAGAGAAGAACGGGUGUGAGAGUGGAAAGUGCACACUGUGACGGUAUCUUACCAGAAAGGGACGGCUAACUACGU
rnacentral:rRNA from 1 species